rnacentral:rRNA from 1 species
UACAGAGGGUGCAAACGUUGUUCGGAAUUACUGGGCGUAAAGCGCGUGCAGGCGGCCUUGCAAGUCGGACGUGAAAUCCCACGGCUCAACCGUGGAAGUGCAUUCGAAACUGCGAGGCUGGAGUCCUGGAGAGGAAAGUGGAAUACUCGGUGUAGAGGUGAAAUUCGUAGAUAUCAAGCGGAACACCGGUGGCGAAGGCGACCUUCUGGACAGUGACUGACGCUGAGACGCGAAAGCGUGGGGAGCAAACAGG